CCUACCCCAUGAGUACGCCGGUGAUAAAGGAACUUGGUAAGGUUGACAAAGGUCUUCCCACAUGGACAUGAAUGCAGAGGAUUCGGGGUGUGGGCUCGCCGGUGGGCCAGGAGGAGGGCCUCUGUGCCGAAGGCCAGGCCACAGUCUACACACAGGAAGUGUGACUCGCUGCUAUGGUCUCCAAGGUGCUGGUCCAGACUGGAAGGGCUAGGGAAGACACGACUGCACAGGGGGCACUUAAAGACGCCCUCCCGGUGACUCCGCAGUCAUGGCGGCAGCAAGGCCCUGG
rnacentral:lncRNA from 1 species